rnacentral:rRNA from 1 species
CCUACGGGAGGCAGCAGUGAGGAAUAUUGGUCAAUGGGCGGGAGCCUGAACCAGCCAAGUCGCGUGAGGGAAGACGGUCCUACGGAUUGUAAACCUCUUUUGCCUGGGAGCAACGGGGUCCUUGCGAGGGCCCGAUGAGAGUACCCGGAGAAAAAGCAUCGGCUAACUCCGUGCCAGCAGCCGCGGUAAUACGGAGGAUGCGAGCGUUAUCCGGAUUUAUUGGGUGUAAAGGGCGUGUAGCCGGGCUGACAAGUCAGAUGUGAAAUCCGGGGGCUCAACCCCCGAACUGCAUUUGAAACUGUUGGUCUUGAGUAUCGGAGAGGCAGGUGGAAUUCCUAGUGUAGCGGUGAAAUGCGUAGAUAUUAGGAGGAACACCAGUGGCGAAGGCGGCCUGCUGGACGACAACUGACGGUGAGGCGCGAAAGCGUGGGGAGCAAACAGGAUUAGAUACCCUAGUAGUC